rnacentral:pre_miRNA from 10 species
UGCAUCUUCCGACCGGCAAUCAGUAAGUGCACCAGAUUGGGGUGGACCUUAAACGCUGCAACUUAAAUAUUCACAGUAAUGUCCACCUACAAGGAGCCUUUCGACGGGUGGGUGGA